UGCAGUCGACGGUAACAGGAAGCAGCUUGCUGCUUUGCUGACGAGUGGCGGACGGGUGAGUAAUGUCUGGGAAACUGCCUGAUGGAGGGGGAUAACUACUGGAAACGGUGGCUAAUACCGCAUAACGUCGCAAGACCAAAGAGGGGGACCUUCGGGCCUCUUGCCAUCAGAUGUGCCCAGAUGGGAUUAGCUUGUUGGUGAGGUAACGGCUCACCAAGGCGACGAUCCCUAGCUGGUCUGAGAGGAUGACCAGCCACACUGGAACUGAGACACGGUCCAGACUCCUACGGGAGGCAGCAGUGGGGAAUAUUGCACAAUGGGCGCAAGCCUGAUGCAGCCAUGCCGCGUGUAUGAAGAAGGCCUUCGGGUUGUAAAGUACUUUCAGCGGGGAGGAAGGUGUUGUGGUUAAUAACCGCAGCAAUUGACGUUACCCGCAGAAGAAGCACCGGCUAACUCCGUGCCAGCAGCCGCGGUAAUACGGAGGGUGCAAGCGUUAAUCGGAAUUACUGGGCGUAAAGCGCACGCAGGCGGUCUGUCAAGUCGGAUGUGAAAUCCCCGGGCUCAACCUGGGAACUGCAUUCGAAACUGGCAGGCUUGAGUCUUGUAGAGGGGGGUAGAAUUCCAGGUGUAACGGUGAAAUGCGUAGAGAUCUGGAGGAAUACCGGUGGCGAAGGCGGCCCCCUGGACAAAGACUGACGCUCAGGUGCGAAAGCGUGGGGAGCAAACAGGAUUAGAUACCCUGGUAGUCCACGCCGUAAACGAUGUCUACUUGGAGGUUGUGCCCUUGAGGCGUGGCUUCCGGAGCUAACGCGUUAAGUAGACCGCCUGGGGAGUACGGCCGCAAGGUUAAAACUCAAAUGAAUUGACGGGGGCCCGCACAAGCGGUGGAGCAUGUGGUUUAAUUCGAUGCAACGCGAAGAACCUUACCUGGUCUUGACAUCCACAGAACUUUCCAGAGAUGGAUUGGUGCCUUCGGGAACUGUGAGACAGGUGCUGCAUGGCUGUCGUCAGCUCGUGUUGUGAAAUGUUGGGUUAAGUCCCGCAACGAGCGCAACCCUUAUCCUUUGUUGCCAGCGGUCCGGCCGGGAACUCAAAGGAGACUGCCAGUGAUAAACUGGAGGAAGGUGGGGAUGACGUCAAGUCAUCAUGGCCCUUACGACCAGGGCUACACACGUGCUACAAUGGCGCAUACAAAGAGAAGCGACCUCGCGAGAGCAAGCGGACCUCAUAAAGUGCGUCGUAGUCCGGAUUGGAGUCUGCAACUCGACUCCAUGAAGUCGGAAUCGCUAGUAAUCGUGGAUCAGAAUGCCACGGUGAAUACGUUCCCGGGCCUUGUACACACCGCCCGUCACACCAUGGGAGUGGGUUGCAAAAGAAGUAGUGUAGCUUAACCUUCGGGAGGGCGCU
rnacentral:rRNA from 1 species